GCAUGUCUAAGUAUAAGCGAACUUAUACAGUGAAACUGCGGAUGGCUCAUUAAAACAGUUUGAAUUUAUUUGAUGAAUGUAUGAGAAUACUACUUGGAUAACCGUAGUAAUUCUAGAGCUAAUACAUGCAACGACGCCCGACCGUUUCACUACGGAAGGGCUGUAUUUAUUGGAUACCAAAACCAUCCUUCCCUCGGGAAGUUUUGUUUGAUGAUUCACAAUAACUGAUCGGAUCGCCACUGUGGUGGCGACAGGUCAUUCAACAUUCUGCCCUAUCAGCUUUCGAUGGUUGUGUAGUGGACAACCAUGGCCAUAACGGGUAACGGAGAAUCAGGGUUCGAUUCCGGAGAAGGAGCUUGAGAAUUGGCUACUACAUCUAAGGAAGGCAGCAGGCGCGCAAAUUACCCAAUCCCGAUUCGGGGAGGUAGUGACAAAAAAUAACAAUACCGGGCCUUUUUGGGCUUGGUAAUUGGAAUGAGGGAGAGUUAAACGGACCAUCGAGUAUCCAUUGGAGGGCAAGUCUGGUGCCAGCAGCUGCGGUAAUACCAGCUCCAAUAGCGUAUAUUAAAGUUGUUGCAGUUAAAAAGCUCGUAGUUGGACUUGUGUGCGCUGUCCGCGGGUGGCCUGCGCCCAAAAGGGCGUUUCGGUUCGGCCCCGGUGGCGCCUUGAAAUCUGCAGCUGGGGGGACGUUGGCCUUAACUGGUCGGCGACCGCACGCCGGCUGCUCGGUUACUGUGAGAAAAUUAGAGUGUUCAAGGCAGGCAUUGGGCGCAAUUGAAUACAUUAGCAUGGAAUAAUAAAAUAUGGCUCCUGCCGUAUUUUGUUGGUUUUGACUGGUGGGAGUAAUGAUUGAUAGGGACGGUUGGGGGUGCUAGUAUUGAGCGGCCAGAGGUGAAAUUCAUGGAUUCGCUCAAGACUAACUUAUGCGAAAGCAUUCACCAAGGACGUCCUCUUUAAUCAAGAACGAAAGUUGGGGGAUCGAAGACGAUCAGAUACCGUCGUAGUCUCAACCAUAAACUAUGUCGACUUGGGAUCGGCGGUAGUUUUUUCAUUAAGACACUGUCGGGACCACGGGAGAAAUCAAAGUGUCUGGACUCUGGGGGAAGUAUGGUCGCAAGGCUGAAACUUGAAGGAAUCGACGGAAGGGCACCACCAGGAGUGGAGCCUGCGGCUUAAUUUGACCCAACACGGGGAAACUUACCAGGUCCAGAGAUGUAGAGGAUUGACAGAUUGAAGCUCUUUCUUGAUCACUUCGGUGGUGGUGCAUGGCCGUUCUUAGUUGGUGGAGUGAUUUGUCUGGUUAAUUCCGUUAACGAAUGAGACCUCAGCCUGCUAGUGUAGUCGGCUGGAUCGC
rnacentral:rRNA from 1 species